rnacentral:rRNA from 2 species
ACGGAAGGCAGCAGUGGGGAAUAUUGCACAAUGGGGGAAACCCUGAUGCAGCGACGCCGCGUGAGUGAAGAAGUAUUUCGGUAUGUGAAGCUCUAUCAGCAGGAAAGAAAAUGACGGUACCUGACUAAGAAGCCCCGGCUAACUACGUGCCAGCAGCCGCGGUAAUACGUAGGGGGCAAGCGUUAUCCGGAUUUACUGGGUGUAAAGGGAGCGUAGACGGCUUUGCAAGUCUGAAGUGAAAGCCCGGGGCUCAACCCCGGAACUGCUUUGGAAACUGUAGAGCUAGAGUGCAGGAGAGGUAAGUGGAAUUCCUAGUGUAGCGGUGAAAUGCGUAGAUAUUAGGAGGAACACCAGUGGCGAAGGCGGCUUACUGGACUGUAACUGACGUUGAGGCUCGAAGGCGUGGGGAGCAAACAGGAUUAGAUACCCUGGUA